UUUUUUGUUCAGAGGUUUGAGGAUAGCAUAUAUUAACAUAUUGAAGUUAUUACAGGCAAAUCCCUAUAAAUUCACACAUCAUUUUAUAUACAUGGUACUAUGGAUAGACCACAACUAUAAUGUGUUAACUCUCCUAUCAGUAAUCCACAAAUAUUUUAAUCCUUCAGAUCCUCUAAAGUUCAACUUAAGUACCAAUUUCUUCACAAAUUAAUUCAAAACCACUUCAGUUAAUAGUGUUCAUUCCCUUUCCUAAGCACUCCUAGUACUUAGAGUGUAAACUAAUUUUUAUACAAGGACAUAUCGGAAGUACUAUUUAUUUAAAUUUAUUUUAGAGAUGGCAUCUUGCUUUGUUGCCCAGGCUGGGGUACUGUAGCAGGAUCAUAGCUCACUGAUGGUACAAAUUCCUGAGCUCAAGAGAUCCUCCUGCCUUAGCCUCUCAAGUAGGUGGGACCAACUGCAGGCAAGUGCCACAUCACCCAGCUAAUUUUUAAAUUUUUUGUAGAGAUGGAGUCUCACUACCUUGCCCAGACUUGUCUUGAAUUCCUGGGCUUACGUGAUCCACGUGCCUCAGCCUCCCAAAGUGCUGGGAUCACAGGCCUGAGCCACCUGCCUGGCCCCAGAAGUAUUCUUAAAAGAGAAUUAAUCUGGAUCUCAGAAUAUUCCAUUAUGGACAAGAUAUCAACCAAUGACUGAAGAUUGCUAUCAAAUUGAAAUAUGGAGGAGUAGCAAAGAAUUUUAAAAGAAUUCUAUCACAUGUGUAAUGAAACAAGUAACGAAGUUUAAAGCAGCUAUAUCCAUGAGUUAUUAAUUUUGGCAAUUAUAAUGUUACAUGCACUGACAAUUCUUAUUUUCUGUAUCUACUGAUCUUUGUUACAAACAAAAAAUGGAAACAGAUAAAUGAAAAUGAUGCACCAGAAAGAUAAGUCAUCCUCUGUGGCUCUCAUAUAUCACAUGGCAUUUUUCAAUAGAAACAUGUGAGAAGCAAGACACUACAGUGCUUUCAUAACAGUUUACAGUGUAUCUCAGUGAGGCAGUUUUUAAACUGCAUGUUUAGUUUAAAUGUAAAUCA
rnacentral:lncRNA from 1 species